rnacentral:snoRNA from 1 species
AACCCAAGAUGAGGGCACCUUCUCAAUAAAUCAUUGUAUCUCUCCCAUGCAUCAUAUAAAUCGAUCUGAACAAAGGAGGAAAUAUCAUUCCUAAACUU